AUGCGGUGAAGCAACUCA
rnacentral:snRNA from 1 species